AUUUUAUUAAAUUGGUUUAGAUGUGUUGGUUAAACUUAAAUUGGCAUUGGUUUAGAGAUUUUAGUUGGUUUAAUUCAAUUUUACAAAACUCGAUGGGUUAAUUGUGUAAACCAUUGAAACCAUUAACCAUUACAACCCAACUCAUUUUACUCAUCAAACCAAUUGACUCAUCAACUCAUUUGACCCAUCAACUCAUUUGACUCAAAAUUUUCAACUCAUUAGGGUUUAGGGUUCAUGGGUUGAGUUGAGUUGAGUUGACCCAUGAAUUUUGACCCAUUUUGACACCCCUAGCUACAAGAUUACAAUUGAAAGUAUAUUGUUUUGCUCUCUAUUUAUAUAACCUACUUUAAGGAAUUUUACAAAUUUGUUAACUGAUUAUCUCCCUUUAAUCCUUUUUAUUUAUGC
rnacentral:sRNA from 1 species